GGCAGCAUGCAUUUGCAAUGGAAUCCAAGCAUUCUCAGUGGAGUUCCUGCCUGCCUUGGGACUGACUGACUGGACCAAGGGGGGCCUAAGGCUGCUCUCGCUCUUGGCCGUCUCGGCGACACCAAGCUUGGACCAAGAGUGUCUCGAUGCCGGCGAUUGGGACGAUCUCGCUGCGCCUGGAUUUCGGCGUUUGAUCGGGAGUGAUAUGCUGGUGAAUGCCCUGCCGAGUUUAGGGCAUUGUCAAGAAGAUCUGUUCUCCUUGUUUGGCACUUCUGCACAUGCUGCGGACUUCACUCACUCUUCAUCGAGCAAGGGGAUCGAAUGAACUGGAGAUUGAAACUCAGGAAGACUGAACGUGGGGGAAAUCCUGAUUCAUUAUGGAAUGAAUUAGAGUAUGAUUCACCCAAUAGAAAGCAGCGAAAGAUCCUUAGAGCCGGCAAUGCUUUAAAAUCAAAGAACCGCAGUCGACGAGCCCUGUAGUGCCCAUGAGGCGCAGAAGAAUCCUCCCCAACAAUAUGGACUUGAAAAUUUUACCUCAAGAUUUAAUUAAGAGCUCAAGCAAGGAAUCACAAGCUUGAUGCUCCUGAUUGUGAGUUAAUAGCUAUGGUCUCCAGCAAUAGAGGGAUUCAGCUAUAACCAAGAAAACAAUUACACAUACAACCUAUUCGUUACAUGCCCAAUUCCUGAUUCUUGAUUGAAUUUAUUUCUUUCUCUUGGUGGAAUUGUCGAGCUGAUCUCCCUGCAUCUCUUACAGUCGUGUGAUAGUUGAUGCUUUUGUUAAUGUGACACAUGGGUUAUGAAUACACGGCACUCAAUGUAACUCUUCACUUCUUUAUGAGAGCUCUUGAGGAGUAGUAGAAGUACCUAGGAAAGUAAUCAUAGUUGGAGGAACAUCAUGAUGUCUUCAGUUCAUUGCGUAGAUAUUAGAGCACGAGGCAAGUUCAUACACCUUGUAUGUCUCAUUACUAUAUUUCAAUGCCACUGAGUGACACACAACGCAUUUUUGUUGCAUCUGUCGAUGAUAAAAGCACCUGAUACGUCAUGUUCAGG